rnacentral:lncRNA from 1 species
GCUGCAAUUAGACUUCCGUGUUCUGUGAUCAACGUCCUUUGCUAAUUGCAUAAUUUCUUUUGCAUUUAAUCGUCAGAUGGCAUCCUUUUUUUUUUCCUGUCUCCAUGGUUUGCUGCUGGUUGUGAGCUGCGUGUAGAAUUUCUGGCUAAGGCACCUGCAAUCACAGAACCAAAGAUUUUCUGGGAGGAGCUGCCUCCUUUGUUUACAGUUUGGGAUGGACCAAGAAAGAAGCAAACACCCUAGCUGUCCUUCAUCACAGACGGUUUGGAAAGCACUGGUGUAGAAGCUAUAGGAUGAGAAAAAUCUGGGCUUUAUUGCAGCUCAGUCACUUACUAACUGGCUGAUGUUAAUUCAAGUGUAUUAUCUCCCUGUGCCUUGGUGCCUUCACGUAUAAAAUGGGCUUAAUAGUGCACAUCCAUCAAAGCUUUGCAACAUCAAUGAAGAAGCAAGUAUAAAGCACGCAGUACAGGGAGUAGUACCAAAAUGUUCACUGCUAUUACUCUAGUCGGAGAAGGCAAUGGCACCCCGCUCCAGUACACUUGCCUGGAAAAUCCCAU